AGGGUUUGAUCAUGGCUCAGAACGAACGCUGGUGGCGUGCUUAACACAUGCAAGUCGAACGAGAAAGUUUCCUUCGGGAAAUUAGUAAAGUGGCGCAAGGGUGAGUAUCACGUGAAUAAUCUGCCCUCGAGAUCGGGAUAACAUGGUGAAAACUAUGCUAAUACCGGAUAAGACCACAUUUCAUAAGAAAUGCGGUAAAAGGAGUCUCAAUCUUCACUCGAGGAUGAGUUCGCGCAACAUUAGCUUGUUGGUGGGAUAAAAGCUCACCAAGGCUACGAUGUUUAGCCGGCCUGAGAGGGUGAUCGGCCACACUGGAACUGAGACACGGUCCAGACUCCUACGGGAGGCAGCAGUGGGGAAUAUUGCGCAAUGGGCGAAAGCCUGACGCAGCAACGCCGUGUGAGCGAUGAAGGCUUUAGGGUCGUAAAGCCCUGUCAAAUGGGAAGAAUUUUGACGGUACCAUUAGAGGAAGCCCCGGCUAACUCCGUGCCAGCAGCCGCGGUAAUACGGAGGGGGCAAGCGUUGUUCGGAAUUAUUGGGCGUAAAGCGUAUGUAGGCGGUUAAACAAGUCAGGCGUGCAAGCCCGUGGCUCAACCACGGAAUUGCGUUUGAAACUGUUUA
rnacentral:rRNA from 1 species